ACGCUACGGACUUAAUUGGAUUGAGCCUUGGUAUGGAAACCUACUAAGUGAUAACUUUCAAAUUCAGGGAAACCCCGGAAUUAAAAAAAAUGGGCAAUCCUGAGCCAAAUCCUGUUUUAUCAAAAGAAAAGUUCAGAAACAGAAAAAAGGAUAGGUACAGAGACUCAAUGGAAGCUGUUCUAGUAAAUGGGUGCACUGGUAAAGGAAUCUUUCUACUGAAACGUAAGAAAGGGUCAAGGAUAAACCUAUCCAUUGAAUACUAUAUCAGAUGAUUAAGAAUGGCCUGAAUUUCUAGAUGUGUUUUUUUAUAUGAAAAAUAUAAGAAUUUGUCUGAAUUGAUUGAAUAUUGAAGAAAAAUAUAAUUUUUAGUGAUCAAACCAUUCACUCCAUAGUUCGAUAAACUUUUUCAAGAACUGAUCAAUCGGACAAGAAUAAAGAUAGAGUCCCCUUCUACAUGUCAAUACCGACAACAAUGAAAUUUAUAGUAAGAGGAAAAUCCGUUGACUUUAAAAAUCGUGAGGGUUCAAGUCCCUCUAUCCCCACGCAAGCCUAUUUUACUCUCAAAAUAUUUAUCCUACCCUAUACCUUGCGGUUACAAAUUGCUUUAUUUUUCUAAUUCUUUGACAAACGUAGCUGAGAGUAAAUGACUUUUUCUUCUCCUACGUGAUAUAGAAUACACAUCCAAUCCAAAUUGAGCAAAGAAUCCCUAUUUAAAUGAUUCACAAUCAAUAGCUUUACGAAUACUGAAACUGAAAAAGUUGUCUUUUUGAAGAUCAAAGAAAUUAAAGUACUUGGGGAAACAUUUGUAAUCUACCCCCUCCCUUUAAUUGACAUAGACCUCAGCGAUCGACUAAAAUCAUAAAAUGAGUAUGGGUUACUACGCAAGGAAUGGUCGGGAUAGCUCAGCUGUAGAGC
rnacentral:misc_RNA from 1 species